rnacentral:lncRNA from 1 species
AUGUCUUUCGGAAAUUAAACAAAAAAAAACUAAUACAAAUCACAGGGAAAAUAUAAGAAAUCAAAAACAGUUUUUUUUUUAAUUAUGAUUCAAUAAGAAUAAAACAUCAUAGAAUCUACUGAGACUAGACUAUCUUAGCUAGAAACUCGAAAUUGUAAACGUAGACAAUGUAUUGGAAGAAACCAAUAGUAUAAACGCCAGCUCCCGGGUGGAAGCUUUGACCAGCAAAGUCUAUGGCUAAAAGACCAUUAAUAAAACAAAGAAAGAGAAUGAGGAGACCAUGUCCAAUGUCAGUCGUGCUAGUGAGGUGAUAGAUGGAGACUCCUCCGGCGAGAAACGAAAAGGUGGAAACGAAGACAUCCACGGUAGGGUAAUUGAAAGGAACAUAAAACAUGAUAGGUAAUAUAAUCAAAGAUGUUACAAAUCUGAUAUUUUUUAGUACAGGAGUUGUGGUUGGAUCUGGAUAGCCAUCGUCGAAAAAUAAACACUUGAGUAACAUGACUGCAAAGAAAAUUGUGACAGGAGAGAACAAAACCACUCUUCCUCCUGAUAAGAAGAGCAAGCCAAGGAUUGAGAAAAUUGUUAAAGCGUACCAAAUCCCACGAGUGAAUACACGAUAACCCAUUAAGCUCUCUUUCUCCAAUUUUUCCCAAGCCUCUGUCAUCACACAAGGGUGUUUAAUGGUUUCCAUAUCUGUCUUCUUUUUUUCCGUAGGUUUUUUUCUCGAGUGAUGAGAUUUCUUGGGGUGUUUACUUUUGUUUCUCAUAUCUUUUCUCUUUUUUUUUUCUUUUUU